rnacentral:rRNA from 1 species
UACGUAGGGGGCGAGCGUUGUCCGGAAUUAUUGGGCGUAAAGAGCUCGUAGGCGGCUUGGCAAGUCGGAUGUGAAAACUCCAGGCUCAACCUGGAGCCGCCAUUCGAUACUGCUAUGGCUAGAGUCCGGUAGGGGAGUGUGGAAUUCCCGGUGUAGCGGUGAAAUGCGCAGAUAUCGGGAGGAACACCGAUGGCGAAGGCAGCACUCUGGGCCGGCACUGACGCUGAGGAGCGAAAGCGUGGGGAGCGAACAAG